CCUUGUGUUAUAUUACUGUCCAUAACCAUAAGUGGUUUCAAAAGAUUAACGUGGACAGGUCAGUACACUGAGAUACUACACCCAACAAACACCAACCAAUUUGAAGCACUCGCAACUAGCAAGAGUAGAGGAAAAAAUAUCCAUAUGGCAUCGAGUUGGUAGCACAGUGAGACAUUCUUGACCACAUAUAUGAUGUCUGAUCACACCACCUUUAGUUAACCAACCAAUCUGUAUCAUUUGUCUAAUCAAAUCACCUUUAGUUAACCAAUCAAACCAUAUUAGUACCAUAACAUUGUGCAAGUAGUAUAAUAGAAGAAUGAUAAAUGCCACCAUAUUAUUAGACAGCUAGUAUUACACUCCCAUCCAUUUGGACUUGGUUCAUCUCAGUUUGGAUGGAUGCUUUCCUAGCCACAACAUUUUUUAGCCUUGAUGAUAAUUAAUAAGAAUUUAGGAUUAAUUAAUUGAGGAGGAGGAAGCGAACAAAUAAUGAUUGCCCACAAAUUUUGCAUUUUUUUAGUAGUAGAGUAUCUAUCUAACUAUCUAUCUGAGAUGGCCGGAAGGUUCGCCGUGCGGUGGACGGCGGCGACUCAGGAGCACUCGGCCCAGCCCUCCUCGGCGGCCGGCCUGGAGGCGCGCGCCAUCCACGACGCCACCGUGAGCAGNNN
rnacentral:lncRNA from 1 species